CCUACGGGUGGCAGCAGUGGGGAAUAUUGCACAAUGGGGGAAACCCUUAUCCAGCGACGCCGCGUGAGUGAAGAAGGUUUUCGGAUUGUAAACCUCUGUCAGUGGGGACGAUAAUGACGGUACCCAAGUAGGAAGCCACGGCUAACUACGUGCCAGCAGCCGCGGUAAUACGUAGGGGGCAAGCGUUGUCCGGAAUUACUGGGUGUAAAGGGAGCGUAGGCGGGAUGUCAAGUCAGAAGUGAAAGUUGUGGGCUCAACCCAUAACCUGCUUUUGAAACUGAAAUGCUUGAGUGAAGUAGAGGUAAGCGGAAUUCCUAGUGUAGCGGUGAAAUGCGUAGAUAUUAGGAGGAACACCAGUGGCGAAGGCGGCUUGCUGGGCUUUUACUGACGCUGAGGCUCGAAAGCGUGGGGAGCAAACAGGAUUAGAUACCCGAGUAGUC
rnacentral:rRNA from 1 species